rnacentral:tRNA from 1 species
CUAGGAUAACAGGGCUCGAACCUACACUAAAGAACUCAAAACUCUUCGUGCUUCCAUUACACUACAUCCUA